AAUAGAUACCCAGGUAGUCCACGCCGUAAACGUUGGGCACUAGGUGUGGGGCCUUAUCAACGGGUUCCGUGCCGCAGCUAACGCAAUAAGUGCCCCGCCUGGGGAGUACGGCCGCAAGGCUAAAACUCAAAGGGAAUUGACGGGGGCCCGCACAAGCGGCGGAGCAUGCGGAUUAAUUCGAUGCAACGCGAAGAACCUUACCAAAGCUUGACAUGGACCGGACCGCCGCAGAAAUGUGGUUUCCCCUUUGGGGCCGGUUUACAGGUGGUGCAUGGUUGUCGUCAGCUCGUGUCGUGAGAUGUUGGGUUAAGUCCCGCAACGAGCGCAACCCUCGUUCUAUGUUGCCAGCGGUUCGGCCGGGGACUCAUAGGAGACUGCCGGGGUCAACUCGGAGGAAGGUGGGGACGACGUCAAAUCAUCAUGCCCCUUAUGUCUUGGGCUGCACACGUGCUACAAUGGCAGGUACAAUGAGCUGCGAAACCGUGAGGUGGAGCGAAUCUCAAAAAGCCGGUCUCAGUUCGGAUUGGGGUCUGCAACUCGACCCCA
rnacentral:rRNA from 1 species